rnacentral:lncRNA from 1 species
GGGAGAUGCACCGUGCUCUUCUCUUAACGAUGCAAUAUUUUGCAUUCUUGUAACCAGCUUUUUCCCUUCCUUCCACUUCCUUCCUUCUUUCCUUCCUUCAUUCCUUCCUUCUUUUCCUUUUUCCUUCCUUCUUCCCUCCCUACUUUCUUGCUUUCCUUUUCCCCUCAGAUAUACCUCAAAAUAAUAUUUCUGUGCUUAUUUUGGACAAACUUCAUUUUGAAUAUUAAAUGGAUAGGCUGAAAAAAAAAAAAAGAAAAAAGAAAAAAAAAAAAAAAAAGAGCUGCACAUUUCAAACUGCUCUGAGAACACAGAGUUCAGCCCUCUGCUCCUGACAGGGAUGACAAAGAGGCUGCCCUGAGCAUCUCAUAUGUUUCCAUCUAAUAUGAGAUUUCACAAUCAGCAUCAAAGUGGGAAUUUUGCAAGGAAAGGUAUCCCAAUGCCCUUCACAAGCUAAGUCAAUUUUAAUUUUUUAAGCCCUUAUUAUUAUCAUGCAGCAAAAUGUGCGGUGCAUAAAUCUCAUCCAUUACCUACGGCUUUUGUUUCAUAAAUAAUCAAGUCAACUCGAUUCAUGGGCAGGCAAAAUAAGAUAAGAAAGUGAAUGUCCUUUGCAAAUGGCCACGGGUGCUAACACUUCGAGCUGGGCUGACCCCACUGCACAAGUGGAUCCACCUGGAUUUGCACCCUCUGAGGAUCUGCCCCAAAGUGCAACAGGCAUGAGAUAUCCCAGAGGGACCCUAUGGGGAUCCUCCUGGAGAUCCAAGCUUCUAGAUAACUGCACUGGCUUCUUGUUUUCCUGCAAAGAAGAUCCUGUUGGAUGAAGGAUGCCGUUCCAGUGAACUACAUCUGCCUUCUCAGUGUGAAAGAGUGAUGAGAAAAGACCACUAUAGGAAAGCGAUCUGGAUUUCCUGGAAAAGCCAGCCAUCAUUAAGCAAUGUAUUAAAGCAGUGACAUGCAGAGAGCUACAGGGAAAUCUACAGCUGCAGGUGACAGUCCCUCCUUCCUCACUCCAAGUACUCCCUUC